AUUGAACGCUGGCGGCAGGCCUAACACAUGCAAGUCGAACGAGUGGCGGACGGGUGAGUAAUGUCUGGGAAACUGCCUGAUGGAGGGGGAUAACUACUGGAAACGGUAGCUAAUACCGCAUACCAUCGGAUGUGCCCAGAGGGGAUUAGCUAGUAGGUGGGGUAAAGGAUCAACUAGGCGAACAUCCCUAGCUGGUCUGAGAGGAUGACCAGCCACACUGGAACUGAGACACGGGACAGACUCCUACGGGAGGCAGCAGGGGGGAAUAUUGCACAAUGGGCGAAAGACUGAUGCAGCCAUGCCGCGGGUAUGAAGAAGGCCUUCGGGUUGUAAAGUACUUUCAGCGGGGAGGCGGUACCCGCAGAAGAAGCACCGGCUAACUCCGUGCCAGCAGCCGCGGUAAUUC
rnacentral:rRNA from 1 species